ACCUACCUUGAAGUGAGGGAUACCGGCGAGAAAUCGCCGACAAUCCCGCAUAGGCUUCUUUCUUCGAGAGGAGAGAGAAACAAAGCUUUGUUCGCGAGAAGAGGGCGCUUUGAGAUGGGCCCGCGGCCGAUUAGCUAGUUGGUGGGGUAAAAGCCUACCAAGGCUGCGAUCGGUAGCUGGUCUGAGAGGACGAUCAGCCACACUGGGAUUGAGAACGGCCCAG
rnacentral:rRNA from 1 species